CCUACGGGGGGCUGCAGUGGGGAAUAUUGCACAAUGGGGGAAACCCUGAUGCAGCGACGCCGCGUGAGUGAAGAAGUAUUUCGGUACGUAAAGCUCUAUCAGCAGGGAAGAAAAUGACGGUACCUGACUAAGAAGCCCCGGCUAACUACGUGCCAGCAGCCGCGGUAAUACGUAGGGGGCAAGCGUUAUCCGGAUUUACUGGGUGUAAAGGGAGCGUAGACGGCAGCGCAAGGCUGGAGUGAAAUCCCAUGGCUUAACCAUGGAACUGCUUUGGAAACUGUGCAGCUAGAGUGCAGGAGAGGUAAGCGGAAUUCCUAGUGUAGCGGUGAAAUGCGUAGAUAUUAGGAGGAACACCAGUGGCGAAGGCGGCUUACUGGACUGUAACUGACGUUGAGGCUCGAAAGCGUGGGGAGCAAACAGGAUUAGAUACCCUAGUAGUC
rnacentral:rRNA from 1 species